AUUAAAAAGCUGGUGAAAUAGCAACCUUAUAACCUGGUCAGGACAGAGAUGUAGCAGCCAUAUUAAGAAGUGUUAUGUUCGCCAGCUUUUUAAAAAGC
rnacentral:SRP_RNA from 1 species